GGCGUAGUCGAUGGGAAACGGGUUAAUAUUCCCGUACUUGGUGUUACUGCGAAGGGGGGACGGAGAAGGCUAUGUUGGCCGGGCGACGGUUGUCCCGGUUUAAGCGUGUAGGUGUGUGUUCCAGGUAAAUCCGGUUCACUUUAACACUGAGGCGUGACGACGAGGCACUACGGUGCUGAAGCAACAAAUGCCCUGCUUCCAGGAAAAGCCUCUAAGCAUCAGGUAACAUCAAAUCGUACCCCAAACCGACACAGGUGGUCAGGUAGAGAAUACCAAGGCGCUUGAGAGAACUCGGGUGAAGGAACUAGGCAAAAUGGUGCCGUAACUUCGGGAGAAGGCACGCUGACACGUAGGUGAAGUGAUUUACUCAUGGAGCUGAAGUCAGUCGAAGAUACCAGCUGGCUGCAACUGUUUAUUAAAAACACAGCACUGUGCAAACACGAAAGUGGACGUAUACGGUGUGACGCCUGCCCGGUGCCGGAAGGUUAAUUGAUGGGGUCAGCGCAAGCGAAGCUCCUGAUCGAAGCCCCGGUAAACGGCGGCCGUAACUAUAACGGUCCUAAGGUAGCGAAAUUCCUUGUCGGGUAAGUUCCGACCUGCACGAAUGGCGUAAUGAUGGCCAGGCUGUCUCCACCCGAGACUCAGUGAAAUUGAACUCGCUGUGAAGAUGCAGUGUACCCGCGGCAAGACGGAAAGACCCCGUGAACCUUUACUAUAGCUUGACACUGAACAUUGAGCCUUGAUGUGUAGGAUAGGUGGGAGGCUUUGAAGUGUGGACGCCAGUCUGCAUGGAGCCGACCUUGAAAUACCACCCUUUAAUGUUUGAUGUUCUAACGUGGACCCGUUACCCGGGUUGCGGACAGUGUCUGGUGGGUAGUUUGACUGGGGCGGUCUCCUCCUAAAGAGUAACGGAGGAGCACGAAGGUUGGCUAAUCCUGGUCGGACAUCAGGAGGUUAGUGCAAUGGCAUAAGCCAGCUUGACUGCGAGCGUGACGGCGCGAGCAGGUGCGAAAGCAGGUCAUAGUGAUCCGGUGGUUCUGAAUGGAAGGGCCAUCGCUCAACGGAUAAAAGGUACUCCGGGGAUAACAGGCUGAUACCGCCCAAGAGUUCAUAUCGACGGCGGUGUUUGGCACCUCGAUGUCGGCUCAUCACAUCCUGGGGCUGAAGUAGGUCCCAAGGGUAUGGCUGUUCGCCAUUUAAAGUGGUACGCGAGCUGGGUUUAGAACGUCGUGAGACAGUUCGGUCCCUAUCUGCCGUGGGCGCUGGAGAACUGAGGGGGGCUGCUCCUAGUACGAGAGGACCGGAGUGGACGCAUCACUGGUGUUCGGGUUGUCAUGCCAAUGGCACUGCCCGGUAGCUAAAUGCGGAAGAGAUAAGUGCUGAAAGCAUCUAAGCACGAAACUUGCCCCGA
rnacentral:rRNA from 1 species